AAGAAAACGGUUUUCGAGUACAAAGACGGAUGUAACACAGGCUUCUAGAGUACACCUCCUGAUAUCGCGGCCCUAGUUACCGCGGCACCAACCUUUAUCUGGAGUUGCGAGAAGAGAAUCAGAGAGAUCAUCAAAAGAAAAAAGAGAACGGCGUCUACCUGAACGAGAACAUAAAGAUAUUGUUAGUUUAUUGGCUUUA
rnacentral:lncRNA from 1 species